UCUAUACUCCCUCCGUUCGGAAUUACUUGUCUCGGAAAUGGAUGUAUCUAGAACUAAAAUACGUCUAGAUACAUUCAUUUCUGCGACAAAUAAUUCCGAACGGAGGGAGUAGUUC
rnacentral:pre_miRNA from 1 species